CUGAACUUGAAGUAUCCAUCCUUUAUUUAAGUGCCUUUGCUAAGAGCCAGUGUUUUAUUAAUCUUAAUCCUGAGAACUGAGCUCAGAAGCAGAAUCAGAGCCUCUUCUUGAUGUUUCAGCCCAUGGAGACACAGCUCACCCUGUUACAGCUCAGCCUUGAGUGUUGGAUCUCUCCUAACACAAACUGGGGAGAUGUGUAGCAACCCCUCUGCUGUUACCCAAGUGCUCAUUUCUCUGAUAGCACGAAAGGCACAGCUUGAUGAUCAAAGACAUCUUGUGAGCGCUGAGCAAAACGGGUUGGAGAAGGUCUUCUCCCAUGUGAUAACUGUCAGA